AUUGAACGCUGGCGGCAGGCUUAACACAUGCAAGUCGAGCGGAGAUGAGGUGCUUGCACCUUAUCUUAGCGGCGGACGGGUGAGUAAUGCUUAGGAAUCUGCCUAUUAGUGGGGGACAACAUUCCGAAAGGAAUGCUAAUACCGCAUACGUCCUACGGGAGAAAACAGGGGAUCUUCGGACCUUGCGCUAAUAGAUGAGCCUAAGUCGGAUUAGCUAGUUGGUGGGGUAAAGGCCUACCAAGGCGACGAUCUGUAGCGGGUCUGAGAGGAUGAUCAGCCACACUGGGACUGAGACACGGCCCAGACUCCUACGGGAGGAAGCAGUGGGGAAUAUUGGACAAUGGGGGAAACCCUGAUCCAGCCAUGCCGCGUGUGUGAAGAAGGCCUUAUGGUUGUAAAGCACUUUAAGCGAGGAGGAGGCUACUGAGACUAAUACUCUUGGAUAGUGGACGUUACUCGCAGAAUAAGCACCGGCUAACUCUGUGCCAGCAGCCGCCGCGG
rnacentral:rRNA from 1 species